UACGUAGGGUGCGAGCGUUAAUCGGAAUUACUGGGCGUAAAGGGCGCGCAGGCGGCUUAUUUUGUCAGGCGUGAAAGCCCCGGGCUUGACCUGGGAACUGCGUUUGAGUACGGAUGGGGCUAGAGUUCGGGGGAGGAGAGUGGAAUUCCCAGUGGUAGAGGUGAAAUUCGUAGAUAUUGGGAAGAACACCGGUGGCGAAGGCGGCUCUCUGGGACCGAUACUGACGCUGAGGCGCGAAAGCGUGGGGAGCAAACAGG
rnacentral:rRNA from 1 species